GUGUUGACUGGAGGACAGACGUGUGUUCAGCCUCUGCUGAUGGGGUUACCCACAGUAAUUGUCAGAGCAAAUGUAUUUACCAAAUUGAGUAGUUACUUGUAAACUUUGCCCUUGAAAAGCCUUUCAUGUUGGACCAAUAUUGUUUGAUUUACUCACCACCUCUUAUGUUUAACUUGACUAUUCCUUUGAUGUACUGUGUAGUAACUAUAUCCCAUGCAUCUUAAGCUCUGUUACAGGUUGCACAUGUGACGAAGGAUACUGUUAACCGUAUUAGUGGAGAGAGAGCUACCUGUUAGGCUUUAGUUUUCCUGUGGCUGACUAGUGACUCUUUACUUUUUCCCCCUUUAGCUAUAAAUUCCCUGGGGCUGGAGACUAGACUAAGGUUGGUUGACUUUACUAUGUAACUUUGAUGUAAUGGGAUCUCAGAAGUAGAUUUGUAACUAACCCUAAAGGUGAUAACUGUAAAGUCACUGACCACUCCUUGUGUAAGGCAAACUAAUAAACUUCUGUGGUUUAAAAUU